rnacentral:rRNA from 1 species
AACGAACGCUGGCGGCAUGCCUAACACAUGCAAGUCGAACGAGACCUUCGGGUCUAGUGGCGCACGGGUGCGUAACGCGUGGGAACCUGCCCUUAGGUUCGGAAUAACUCCCCGAAAGGGGUGCUAAUACCGGAUAAUGUCUUCGGACCAAAGAUUUAUCGCCUUGGGAUGGGCCCGCGUUGGAUUAGCUAGUUGGUAGGGUAAAAGCCUACCAAGGCGACGAUCCAUAGCUGGUCUGAGAGGAUGAUCAGCCACACUGGGACUGAGACACGGCCCAGACUCCUACGGGAGGAAGCAGUGGGGAAUAUUGGACAAUGGGCGAAAGCCUGAUCCAGCAAUGCCGCGUGAGUGAUGAAGGCCUUAGGGUUGUAAAGCUCUUUUACCCGGGAUGAUAAUGACAGUACCGGGAGAAUAAGCUCCGGCUAACUCCGUG